UACGUAGGCAGCGAGCGUUGUUCGGAGUUACUGGGCGUAAAGGGUGUGUAGGCGGUUGUUUUAAGUUUGGUGUGAAAUCUCCCGGCUCAACUGGGAGGGUGCGCCGAAUACUGAAUGACUCGAGUGCGGGAGAGGAGAGUGGAAUUCCUGGUGUAGCGGUGAAAUGCGUAGAUAUCAGGAGGAACACCGGCGGUGUAGACGGCUCUCUGGACCGUAACUGACGCUGAGACACGAAAAGCGUGGGUAGCAAACAGG
rnacentral:rRNA from 1 species